AAAAAUUUAACUGUUGUUAACAAAAAAUAAAAUUAAACUGUUUUUAACAAAAAAAUUUUUAAACUGUUAUAAAUUUUUUUUUAACUGUUAUAAAAUAAAUUUUAAAACAAAACAAAUUUUUUUAACUGCUUUUAGCAAAAAAAAUUUAAACUAUUUUUAACAAAAAAAAAUUUAAACUGUUAUAAAAAAAAAUUUAAACUGUUAUAAAUUUUAGUUUGUUUUUAAAAAAAAAGUAUAAAUUUUUUUAAACUGUUACAAUUUACACUCCAAACUUUUGUUACCGCCUUAGCCGGUCACUUUUGACCGGUUAAGUGAAGAAAGUGUGCGCUUUGUUACGUAUAAUGAAGUUUGGGGUGUACUUAGACACCUUUUUUGAUUUGGGGUGUAAAAGUCAACACCGGUAUAAAAUUUGGGGUGCAAAUUAUCUUUUAGUCUUAUUAAAGUGGAUGAAGAGAGAGAGGAAAGAGAAAAUGGCAUAGUGAUCGCCAUUAGCGUCAAUGGGGAUGAGUUUUUUAUUCAAACAAAGUGGGGCUUGCAGCUUGCUUUUGAUUGAUUGAUAUUAUUUUUGAAGUUUUGAUUUGUUUAAUUAGUUGAAAGAAGGUUAUGACAAUUUUAC
rnacentral:lncRNA from 1 species